rnacentral:lncRNA from 1 species
UUUGAGUGAGCUGGCUAUUCAACCAAGCCAACAAGUUUCAAUGCUAUUCAGCUAAGUCAACUAAUUCUAGCAUGAGAAAUUGGCCGUCAAGUAAUCAAAGAACAUUGUCUUCUUCAUCUCUGUAGGGACUGAUCAUCUUCUAGCUUUAAACGUGCAUGGCACAAUCCCUACUUAUCACAACUUCUCAAGUUUUCAUCUUCUUCAAUCCUC